rnacentral:lncRNA from 1 species
AUGACAGAGACUGAUGAAGCUCACCAUAUUACAGCUAAAAGAAUCAAGGAGGAAUAUCUGGAAGAUUUUUCAGAUGAUGAACCAUUGAGUAAAGUCUCAAAGAAACAUGAUCCAAAACCUCAGAGAUGGACCAAAACAGCAAACCUGCCAAUGAGACCCAGAAGAGAAAGGAGGGCAACAAUGAAAACGGUUAAUUAUAAAGAGGCUUCCAGUGACAGCUCUGACGAUACACUGACAGAGCAAAAGUCAACCAUGACAGAGACUGGUGAAGCUCACCAUAUUACAGCUAAAAGAAUCAAGGAGGAAUAUCUGGAAGAUACCACUGACGACUCAGAUGACGAAGCAGUGACAGAAAUGAAGACAACCAAGGCAGAGACUGGUGAAGCUCAUGAUUUCACUGCUAUAAUAAUCAAGGAGGAAUAUCUGGAAGACACCAUUGACAACUCAGAUGACGAAGCAGUGACAGGAAUGAAGACAACCAAGGCAGAGACUGGUGAAGCUCAUGAUAUCACUGCUAUAAGAAUCAAGGAGGAAUAUCUGGAAGACACCAUUGACAACUCAGAUGACGAAGCAGUGACAGGAAUGAAGACAACCAAGGCAGAGACUGGUGAAGCUCAUGAUAUCACUGCUAUAAGAAUCAAGGAGGAAUAUCUGGAAGACACCACUGACAACUCAGAUGACGAAGCAGUGACAGGAAUGAAGACAACCAAGGCAGAGACUGGUGAAGCUCAUGAUAUCACUGCUAUAAGAAUCAAGGAGGAAUAUCUGGAAGGUAGGACGCCUUUUGUGUGGUUUUCCUGAAAGAAUGAGCACAUUUUCUUCCUUGGGUCAAAAAGUUCCUUUUUGAGUUUCUAAUUGCAAAAUGACAGCUGCAGUUUUUUGAAAGAACAAUAGAAAGAAGCUGCCACAUAAUACACACAAUUUUUUAAUAAUCUUUUAAGUUUUGUUAACAUUGUGAUAGCUAAGAAACCAGUGACAGAGAUCAACUAAAGUCCAACAGCUCCCCAUCUGCUGGUACAAAG